CUUCCUCAAUCUGUUGCGGGCAGAUGAAAUGAAUGUGGCUGUCGAUACCACCGGCGGUGGCGAUCAAGCCUUCACCGGCAAUGGCCUCGGUGCCGGGGCCAAUAAUGAUGGUCACGCCCGGCUGUACAUCGGGAUUGCCGGCCUUGCCGAUCCCGACGAUAUGGCCGUCCUUGAUCCCGAUGUCGGCCUUGACGAUGCCCCAGUGAUCGACGAUCAGCGCAUUGGUGAUCACAGUAUCGACCGCGCCUUCGGCCUGUGAACGCUGCGACUGGCCCAUGCCGUCGCGGAU
rnacentral:sRNA from 1 species